UACGAAGGGGGCUAGCGUUGUUCGGAAUUACUGGGCGUAAAGCGCACGUAGGCGGAUUGUUAAGUCAGGGGUGAAAUCCUGGAGCUCAACUCCAGAACUGCCCUUGAUACUGGCGGCCUUGAGUCCGGGAGAGGUGAGUGGAACUGCGAGUGUAGAGGUGAAAUUCGUAGAUAUUCGCAAGAACACCAGUGGCGAAGGCGGCUCACUGGCCCGGUACUGACGCUGAGGUGCGAAAGCGUGGGGAGCAAACAGG
rnacentral:rRNA from 1 species